GGUCCAACUAGAAACUUCCAAUGUCGCAGCCAACAAUAAUACAGUUGUAGUUGUUAUUGCAAGGCAAUUGUCAUUUAACUGCAUAAAUUACAGUUCACGUUCACGUCGAAAGUCAAGUCAAUUUAGCGAAUUAAGAGCGAAUGGUUUUUAAAACAACAACAAUAUAAGGCGAACAAGAUGGCUGCUACGAAAAGAAAAAACAAAAUAAAAUACGCAAAAAUAAAGUAAAAAUUACAUUUCAAAAAGCA